GAUGAACGCUAGCGGCAGGCCUAAUACAUGCAAGUCGAACGGUGUAGCAAUACACAGUGGCGCACGGGUGCGUAACACGUAUGCAACCUACCUUACAUUGGGGGAUAGCCUUUCGAAAGGGAGAUUAAUACCGCAUAAGACAGUAACUAGGCAUCUAGUAGCUGUUAAAGAUUUAUCGAUGUAAGCUGGGCAUGCGUCCAAUUAGUUAGUUGGCGAGGUAAUGGCUCGCCAAGACGAUGAUUGGUAGGGGAACUGAGAGGUCAAUCCCCCACACUGGCCCUGAGAUACGGGCCAGACUCCUACGGGAGGCAGCAGUAGGGAAUAUUGGGCAAUGGGCGCAAGCCUGACCCAGCCAUGCCGCGUGCAGGAAGAAGGCGUUAUGCGUUGUAAACUGCUUUUAUACAGGAAGAAACGACCCUUGCGAGGGGCAUUGACGGUACUGUAUGAAUAAGCACCGGCUAACUCCGUGCCAGCCGCCGCGGUAAUAC
rnacentral:rRNA from 1 species